CUCUCAGUGUUGAGAAAGUAGCAUUAUCUGGGGUCAGUGUAUAGCUGACAACUUUUUCACGAACACACGGACUGUCCUGUGACGGGUGUAGCACAGAUGAAGAAAUUAACCAAGUGAUUCGCAAGAGGACAAACCUGGACUGUGAGCUGCCGAGCCAGUACCACAACGGGAGGCUGGAUUCACAACUUACCCAACAAUCUGUUCUAUGGAUAUUGAUUGAGGAUUUAUAAAAAGCCAGGGUCUUUAGGAGUUUUAUUUUGACUAGUUUCAGAAAAGACUUUAAAAAAGUCAGGAAAGAGAAGAUUUUGAGAGAAACCUGGAUAUGAUGCUGUGGAGAAACAGAAGAGAAAGAUGGACAUUCGUGUACCUCCUUGGAAGGCAGGUGCUAUCUAGUGAUGUAAGACUCUUACAGUGAGAGUUCUAAGAAACAAGAAGUGGAGCCUUCUCAAUCCCUGGGCCUAGAGACAGUCAGCACCACGUCUACCGACCGCAUUUACUGGUUGAAGCAGAAGACCCAAGUUCAGUUCCAAAUGGCUCACAACCACCUCUAACUUCAGAUUCAGAGGAUCUAACACCCUUUUUUGGCUUCUGUGGGAGCAGAAAAAAUACAAGACCCAGAGGUCAGGGAGGACUGGAGCCAAACAGCAUCUUCUGGACAUGACAGGACCUCUGCACUCACAGCAGCUCUGGUCAUCUGCAUAAAAUCUGCACAAGAGCAA